CUGCCCGGGACUGAGCCAUUUCGAGAAAUUUGGGGACCGUUGAUUAAACAUUUAUUUGUUUUUUUGAUGGAAACCAAUUUAAUCGCAGUGGCUUGAACCGGGCAAAAGUCGUAACAAGGUAGCUGUAGGUGAACCUGCUGCUGGAUCAUUAC
rnacentral:rRNA from 1 species